GUAAGGGAUAGUUAUCAGAGGUGUUUCUUACUCUUGUCUUCAGCUUCAAAUAGAAGGUAAACCGAGUUCUUUGGCUGGUUUAGGAUAAAAAGCCACGUCUAGUAUGAUGUUAUGGAAUUCAACAUACUGAAUGGGUGAGAUUUAUACCAGCGCGGUAUCGCACCGAAGCUCAAUGCAACUAAUGACGUGUUUUUGUGGAGUCGGCGCUUUUUUGUCCUGCCGUAGGGAUUUGCCGAGGAAGGCCUGGCAAUCAUCUCCAAAGUAAUUGCUUUGAUUGGGGGUUAAAGAAGAGGAAAGUGGGAUGGAUUCAUGACGCUCUUGUUUGUGUUGUAAGGAGUUAAUUUAAGAAACCUAAUAUUUUCAGUGUUAUGUUCCUGAAAUGAGGAAAUGGUCAAAUUAGCUAUUGUUUUAAUAGCAGUUUUUCCGAUAAAUGCUUUUUCUUCUCUGAGCAGUUAAAAGAAACAAAAUGAAUAGUACUAUUUGUUUUUCAGAAAAUGUGUAUCCUAAAUGACUGAAUGUUGACUUCUUGCAGUGUUUGCUCAGUGUAUUU